UACGUAGGGUGCGAGCGUUAAUCGGAAUUACUGGGCGUAAAGCGUGCGCAGGCGGUUCGGAAAGACAGAUGUGAAAUCCCAGAGCUUAACUUUGGAACUGCAUUUUUAACUCCCGGGCUAGAGUGUGUCAGAGGGGGGUAGAAUUCCACGUGUAGCAGUGAAAUGCGUAGAGAUGUGGAGGAAUACCGAUGGCGAAGGCAGCCCCCUGGGACAACACUGACGCUCAGGCACGAAAGCGUGGGGAGCAAACAGG
rnacentral:rRNA from 1 species